GGUCCGUGUAAGGGAUUGAAGGGUCCAUAGGGGAUUCUAUGGGGUCCUAUGGGGUUUCUAUAGGGUCUGUAUAAGGGUCCGAAGGGUCUAUAUGGAUUUCUAUAGGGUACUAUGGGGGAGCAAGGGUCCCCACGGGGUUUCCAUAGGGUCAGUGUAAGGGAUUGAAGGGUCUAUAUGGGUUUCUAUAGGGUCCUAUGGGGGAGCAAGGGGUCCUAUGGGGUUUCUAUAGGGUCCAUAUAAGGGUCCAAAGGGUCUAUACGGGUUUCUAUAGGGUCCUAUGAGGGAGCAAGGGUUCCUAUGGGCUUUCUAUAGGGUCAGUAUAAGGGUCCGAAGGGUCCUAUGGGGCUUCUAUAGGGUCCGUAUAAGGGUCCGA